GGAGUCACUACACUUAACCAAAAAAUGGAUAAAGGCCGAAGAAAACGCUCAAAAAACUUAAGUGAAUUUGAGAAGAUCCUUUUUAAACAAAUUGUAUCAAACUAUCAUGUAAUUGAAAACAAACAGCAUGAUUCAGGUACAGAAAACAAGAAGAAGGCUUGGAUUUCCAUAUUGAAUGAAUUCAACUCAAAUGAAAAAGUAACCAAACGGACACUCCAACAAGUUCAGGUCCUGUGGAAAAACAUAAAAAUAAACCUGAAAAAAAAACAACUGCUGCUACGCGUCAAGAGAGUUUCAAGACAGGUGGGGGACUUCCAGUUCCACCAGACACAGAGGAGUUGGGGGACUUGUUAGCUGGGAUUAUUGAAAGUCAGCAACCCCUGGAAGGUAUUCCAGAUGAUGACCACUUGGACAGUUCAGAUGACCUGAUCUUCACACAGGACUUGGGGGGCGCAGGGAACAGUCAAGCUGCUCAAAUGAAUCCAGCAGCAGCCAGCACCAACAUGCAGCAGCAUCCAGUCUCCUGCAGUAGCAUUAGUCAGCAUCCAGCAGUCUCUAAUCCAGGCAGCAGGUCAAGAGGGAAAAGGAUGACCAUUCAUGAGAAACUUGCCAUAGAGUUCCAUGAACGUAAAUUACAAUAUUUAAAAGAAGAACAUGAAGUCAAAAUGAAAAUUCUUCAUCUUGAGUUGUCUAUGAAAGAGAGAGACAUGAAGCAGCAGCAGUGUCAAUUGUCUUUGGAACAAAAUCUCAGUUAAAUAAAUAAUUUCCUGAAUUUUUUUUACCUGUCUAUGCCAAUCAUUUAUGUAUCACUCAAGGCUCAUUUAUGAGAAGUGCUGCAAAGCAAAAGCAUCUCUGUAAGCAAGUCCAUUUCUGUCAUUGGCUAGCUCAGCGAUAGGGACAUGUUGGUCAUCAUCAUCUUCAAUAUCAGGGUCUGGGCAGUCACACUGUUUAAGAAAAUUAUGAAGCACUGCUGUUGCAAUAAUAACAAUGCAGCACCUCCUAGGUUCAAACCGCAGUGUAUUUCGGAGACACUGGAAACGAUUCUUCCAUACACCAAACAUGCGCUCUAUUAGCCCUCAGGUGAGCAUGUGAGCUUGGUUAUAGCGCUGUUGCUCUGGUCUGACUGGAUGGAGAUAAGGGGUGAACAAGAAGUUUGUCUGUGCAUACCCACUGUCACCAAGUAGAAUUCCAGAGUGUUGUCUUGUUUCAAACUGACCGUACAAAGAGGAGUUGUGGAAAAUCCUUGAGUCAUGAGUUGAACCUUUCCAACGUGCAACAAUAUUGGAGAACUGCAUAGUGGGAGUGCACACUCCU